GGCUAAGUAACAUAAUGGUAGUGUAUGGAAUUGCAAAUUCUAUAGUAGUGUUCGAUUCCACUCUUAGCCU
rnacentral:tRNA from 1 species